rnacentral:tRNA from 1 species
GGGCUGGGGCUCAGUGGUAGAGCACCCGUCUCGCCUCCGUGAGGCCCUGGGUUCCAUCCUCAGCACCACA